UUCUCCGUUCUGCAUUU
rnacentral:sRNA from 1 species